rnacentral:rRNA from 1 species
UGCUGGAGGUAUCAGAAGUGCGAAUGCUGACAUAAGUAACGAUAAAGCGGGUGAAAAGCCCGCUCGCCGGAAGACCAAGGGUUCCUGUCCAACGUUAAUCGGGGCAGGGUGAGUCGACCCCUAAGGCGAGGCCGAAAGGCGUAGUCGAUGGGAAACAGGUUAAUAUUCCUGUACUUGGUGUUACUGCGAAGGGGGGACGGAGAAGGCUAUGUUAGCCGGGCGACGGUUGUCCCGGUUUAAGCAUGUAGGCUGGUUGUCCAGGCAAAUCCGGAUAAUCAAGGCUGAGGUGUGAUGACGAGGCACUACGGUGCUGAAGUAACAAAUGCCCUGCUUCCAGGAAAAGCCUCUAAGCAUCAGGUAACAUCAAAUCGUACCCCAAACCGACACAGGUGGUCAGGUAGAGAAUACCAAGGCGCUUGAGAGAACUCGGGUGAAGGAACUAGGCAAAAUGGUGCCGUAACUUCGGGAGAAGGCACGCUGGUGUGUAGGUGAAGUCCCUGCGGAUGGAGCUGAGACCAGUCGAAGAUACCAGCUGGCUGCAACUGUUUAUUAAAAACACAGCACUGUGCAAACACGAAAGUGGACGUAUACGGUGUGACGCCUGCCCGGUGCCGGAAGGUUAAUUGAUGGGGUUAUCCGUAAGGAGAAGCUCUUGAUCGAAGCCCCGGUAAACGGCGGCCGUAACUAUAACGGUCCUAAGGUAGCGAAAUUCCUUGUCGGGUAAGUUCCGACCUGCACGAAUGGCGUAAUGAUGGCCAGGCUGUCUCCACCCGAGACUCAGUGAAAUUGAACUCGCUGUGAAGAUGCAGUGUACCCGCGGCAAGACGGAAAGACCCCGUGAACCUUUACUAUAGCUUGACACUGAACAUUGAGCCUUGAUGUGUAGGAUAGGUGGGAGGCUUUGAAGCGUGGACGCCAGUCUGCGUGGAGCCAACCUUGAAAUACCACCCUUUAAUGUUUGAUGUUCUAACGUUGGCCCCUGACCGGGGUUGCGGACAGUGUCUGGUGGGUAGUUUGACUGGGGCGGUCUCCUCCCAAAGCGUAACGGAGGAGCACGAAGGUUAGCUAAUCCUGGUCGGACAUCAGGAGGUUAGUGCAAUGGCAUAAGCUAGCUUGACUGCGAGCGUGACGGCGCGAGCAGGUGCGAAAGCAGGUCAUAGUGAUCCGGUGGUUCUGAAUGGAAGGGCCAUCGCUCAACGGAUAAAAGGUACUCCGGGGAUAACAGGCUGAUACCGCCCAAGAGUUCAUAUCGACGGCGGUGUUUGGCACCUCGAUGUCGGCUCAUCACAUCCUGGGGCUGAAGUAGGUCCCAAGGGUAUGGCUGUUCGCCAUUUAAAGUGGUACGCGAGCUGGGUUUAGAACGUCGUGAGACAGUUCGGUCCCUAUCUGCCGUGGGCGCUGGAGAAUUGAGGGGGGCUGCUCCUAGUACGAGAGGACCGGAGUGGACGCAUCACUGGUGUUCGGGUUGUCAUGCCAAUGGCACUGCCCGGUAGCUAAAUGCGGAAGAGAUAAGUGCUGAAAGCAUCUAAGCACGAAACUUGCCCCGAGAUGAGUUCUCCCUGAGACUUUAAGUCUCCUGAAGGAACGUUAAAGACGAUGACGUUGAUAGGCCGGGUGUGUAAGCGCAGCGAUGCGUUGAGCUAACCGGUACUAAUGAACCGUGAGGCUUAACCUUACAACGCCGAAG